UACAGAGGUCUCAAGCGUUGUUCGGAUUCAUUGGGCGUAAAGGGUGCGUAGGUGGCGCCGUAAGUCGGGUGUGAAAUUUCGGAGCUUAACUCCGAAACUGCAUUCGAUACUGCGGUGCUUGAGGACUGGAGAGGAGACUGGAAUUCAUGGUGUAGCAGUGAAAUGCGUAGAGAUCAUGAGGAAGACCAGUGGCGAAGGCGGGUCUCUGGACAGUUCCUGACACUGAGGAGCGAAAGCGUGGGGAGCGAACAGG
rnacentral:rRNA from 1 species